rnacentral:rRNA from 1 species
GACGGAGGGGGCUAGCGUUGUUCGGAAUUACUGGGCGUAAAGAGCGCGUAGGCGGUUUAGUAAGUUGGAAGUGAAAGCCCGGGGCUUAACCUCGGAAUUGCUUUCAAAACCGCUAAUCUAGAGUUUAGCAGGGGAUGAUGGAAUUCCUAGUGUAGAGGUGAAAUUCUUAGAUAUUAGGAGGAACACCAGAGGCGAAGGCGGUCAUCUGGGCUAUAACUGACGCUGAUGCGCGAAAGCGUGGGGAGCAAACAGG